GCUCCCGUAGCUCAGCUGGAUAGAGCGUUGGUCUCCGAAGCCAAAAGUCGGCAGUUCGAAUCUGCCCGGGAGCA
rnacentral:tRNA from 1 species